AUGGCUUUCCGCGCUCCAACUGCCGCCACUGCCCAUGGCCAUGCCACCCCGGCUCCUCGACCGAGCUCAUGGAAGCACAGCACCAUCACCUUCUUCAGCUCCUCGAGGCUAAUCGGCGGCGGCGGCGGCCAGAGGGCACGGCUCGCGACUGCAGCGCAUGCGUUAUCGUCGGCGACGGCGGCGGCGCCCUUCCCUCCUCCCAACGCGGAGUACCUGGCCGCCGAGUUCUCCGGCCACGGCGUCACCUUCGAGGCCGUGGGCGACAGCUGCGCCGUGAAGAUGGCGGUGCGCAACGGCAGCGCGGCGCACCUGCUGCUGCCCAGCGGGCUGGUCACGUCCUACAAGCCGGCCAUGUGGCACGGCGCCGCCACGGAGGUGCUCCACACCACCGUCGGCGAGGGCCCCGGCGGGCGCCCCGUCAUCCGCGGCGGCGUGUCCAUGGACUUCCGGUGUGCGCGCACCGUUGCCGUUGCCGGCGAGGCGCCGUCGUGGUGGUCGCCGGGCGGGGCGUGGUCGCUCCGCGACGUGAGGGGAGGCCCCACGGGGUCCAUCUCGGUGGAGCUGGUGUCCGUGGAGCCGCCGGGGAGCGGGGACGGGGCGGAGGCGAGGUGCGUGGUGACGCUGCAGCCGGAGGCGCUGGCGUCCGAGUACACGGUGACGAACGCCGCGUCGUCGCCGUCGGCCGCGGCGCUGUCGGGCGCCGUGUGCAACCACCUGCGCGUGAGCACGCCCGACGCCACCUACGCCGUGGGGCUCCAGGGCUCGGACUACCGCGGCAGGGAGCCCCUGCUGUCCGAGUUCAGCAUCCUCCCCCCGGACUACUACUCCAUGCCGUCAUCCCCGCAGCCGCGCUGGGUCAGCAAGGGGCUGGACAUGCUCCUCUCCGGCGGCGGGGGCGGGCAGAGCUCGCCGAGGGGGGCACCGGAGCCGGACGGCGAGGAGGACGACAACUACAAGCACCUGACGGCGGAGCUGUGCCGGGUGUACCGGCACGCGCCCAGGGAGUUCACCGUCAUCGACAGGGGCCGGAGGAACUCGGUUUGCCUGAGCAGGAGAGGGUUCGAGGAGCUGUACGUCUUCAGCCCGGGAUCCAAGUACGAGUGGUACGGCAAGUUCGCCUACGUGUGCAUCGGGCCUGCCAUGCUGGAGCCCGUGGUGCUGCCGCCAGGAGCUACGUGGCAUGGGGCGCAGUGCAUCCGCAACCCAAACCUGUAG
rnacentral:rRNA from 1 species